GGUUAAGCGACUAAGCGUACACGGUGGAUGCCCUGGCAGUCAGAGGCGAUGAAGGGCGUGCUAAUCUGCGAUAAGCGCCGGUAAGGUGAUAUGAACCGUUAUAACCGGCGAUACCCGAAUGGGGAAACCCAGUGUGACUCGUCACACUAUCAUUAACUGAAUCCAUAGGUUAAUGAGGCGAACCGGGGGAACUGAAACAUCUAAGUACCCCGAGGAAAAGAAAUCAACCGAGAUUCCCCCAGUAGCGGCGAGCGAACGGGGAGGAGCCCAGAGCCUGAAUCAGCAUGUGUGUUAGUGGAAGCGUCUGGAAAGGCGCGCGAUACAGGGUGACAGCCCCGUACACAAAAGCGCAUGUGCUGUGAGCUCGAUGAGUAGGGCGGGACACGUGGUAUCCUGUCUGAAUAUGGGGGGACCAUCCUCCAAGGCUAAAUACUCCUGACUGACCGAUAGUGAACCAGUACCGUGAGGGAAAGGCGAAAAGAACCCCGGCGAGGGGAGUGAAAAAGAACCUGAAACCGUGUACGUACAAGCAGUGGGAGCCCCACCACCAAAGCAUUCUCUGGUGUUGAAGGCCCUGCAAAGCAGCAUCGCGGUGGCGGAGCGUCGUUUGCGACGCCCAACACACAAAACAAGCGGUGAGUGCUUUGGGGUGGGGUGACUGCGUACCUUUUGUAUAAUGGGUCAGCGACUUAUAUUCUGUAGCAAGGUUAACCGUAUAGGGGAGCCGUAGGGAAACCGAGUCUUAACCGGGCGUUAAGUUGCAGGGUAUAGACCCGAAACCCGGUGAUCUAGCCAUGGGCAGGUUGAAGGUUGGGUAACACUAACUGGAGGACCGAACCGACUAAUGUUGAAAAAUUAGCGGAUGACCUGUGGCUGGGGGUGAAAGGCCAAUCAAACCGGGAGAUAGCUGGUUCUCCCCGAAAGCUAUUUAGGUAGCGCCUCGUGAACUCAUCUCCGGGGGUAGAGCACUGUUUCGGCUAGGGGGCCAUCCCGGCUUACCAACCCGAUGCAAACUGCGAAUACCGGAGAAUGUUAUCACGGGAGACACACGGCGGGUGCUAACGUCCGUCGUGAAGAGGGAAACAACCCAGACCGCCAGCUAAGGUCCCAAAGUCAUGGUUAAGUGGGAAACGAUGUGGGAAGGCCCAGACAGCCAGGAUGUUGGCUUAGAAGCAGCCAUCAUUUAAAGAAAGCGUAAUAGCUCACUGGUCGAGUCGGCCUGCGCGGAAGAUGUAACGGGGCUAAACCAUGCACCGAAGCUGCGGCAGCGACGCUGAUGCGUUGUUGGGUAGGGGAGCGUUCUGUAAGCCUGUGAAGGUGGCCUGUGAGGGUUGCUGGAGGUAUCAGAAGUGCGAAUGCUGACAUAAGUAACGAUAAAGCGGGUGAAAAGCCCGCUCGCCGGAAGACCAAGGGUUCCUGUCCAACGUUAAUCGGGGCAGGGUGAGUCGACCCCUAAGGCGAGGCCGAAAGGCGUAGUCGAUGGGAAACGGGUUAAUAUUCCCGUACUUGGUGUUACUGCGAAGGGGGGACGGAGAAGGCUAUGUUGGCCGGGCGACGGUUGUCCCGGUUUAAGCGUGUAGGUGUGUGUUCCAGGUAAAUCCGGUUCACUUUAACACUGAGGCGUGAUGACGAGGCACUACGGUGCUGAAGCAACAAAUGCCCUGCUUCCAGGAAAAGCCUCUAAGCAUCAGGUAACAUCAAAUCGUACCCCAAACCGACACAGGUGGUCAGGUAGAGAAUACCAAGGCGCUUGAGAGAACUCGGGUGAAGGAACUAGGCAAAAUGGUGCCGUAACUUCGGGAGAAGGCACGCUGACACGUAGGUGAAGUGAUUUACUCACGGAGCUGAAGUCAGUCGAAGAUACCAGCUGGCUGCAACUGUUUAUUAAAAACACAGCACUGUGCAAACACGAAAGUGGACGUAUACGGUGUGACGCCUGCCCGGUGCCGGAAGGUUAAUUGAUGGGGUCAGCGCAAGCGAAGCUCCUGAUCGAAGCCCCGGUAAACGGCGGCCGUAACUAUAACGGUCCUAAGGUAGCGAAAUUCCUUGUCGGGUAAGUUCCGACCUGCACGAAUGGCGUAAUGAUGGCCAGGCUGUCUCCACCCGAGACUCAGUGAAAUUGAACUCGCUGUGAAGAUGCAGUGUACCCGCGGCAAGACGGAAAGACCCCGUGAACCUUUACUAUAGCUUGACACUGAACAUUGAGCCUUGAUGUGUAGGAUAGGUGGGAGGCUUUGAAGUGUGGACGCCAGUCUGCAUGGAGCCGACCUUGAAAUACCACCCUUUAAUGUUUGAUGUUCUAACGUGGACCCGUGAUCCGGGUUGCGGACAGUGUCUGGUGGGUAGUUUGACUGGGGCGGUCUCCUCCUAAAGAGUAACGGAGGAGCACGAAGGUUGGCUAAUCCUGGUCGGACAUCAGGAGGUUAGUGCAAUGGCAUAAGCCAGCUUGACUGCGAGCGUGACGGCGCGAGCAGGUGCGAAAGCAGGUCAUAGUGAUCCGGUGGUUCUGAAUGGAAGGGCCAUCGCUCAACGGAUAAAAGGUACUCCGGGGAUAACAGGCUGAUACCGCCCAAGAGUUCAUAUCGACGGCGGUGUUUGGCACCUCGAUGUCGGCUCAUCACAUCCUGGGGCUGAAGUAGGUCCCAAGGGUAUGGCUGUUCGCCAUUUAAAGUGGUACGCGAGCUGGGUUUAGAACGUCGUGAGACAGUUCGGUCCCUAUCUGCCGUGGGCGCUGGAGAACUGAGGGGGGCUGCUCCUAGUACGAGAGGACCGGAGUGGACGCAUCACUGGUGUUCGGGUUGUCAUGCCAAUGGCACUGCCCGGUAGCUAAAUGCGGAAGAGAUAAGUGCUGAAAGCAUCUAAGCACGAAACUUGCCCCGAGAUGAGUUCUCCCUGAGACUUAGAGUCUCCUGAAGGAACGUUGAAGACGACGACGUUGAUAGGCCGGGUGUGUAAGCGCAGCGAUGCGUUGAGCUAACCGGUACUAAUGAACCGUGAGGCUUAACCUU
rnacentral:rRNA from 1 species